AUUGAACGCUGGCGGCAGGCUUAACACAUGCAAGUCGAACGGUAGCAGGAGAAAGCUUGCUUUCUUGCUGACGAGUGGCGGACGGGUGAGUAAUGCUUGGGAAUCUGGCUUAUGGAGGGGGAUAACGACGGGAAACCGUCGCUAAUACCGCGUAAUAUCGAAAGAUUAAAGUGUGGGACCUUCGGGCCACAUGCCAUAGGAUGAGCCCAAGUGGGAUUAGGUAGUUGGUGGGGUAAAGGCCUACCAAGCCUGCGAUCUCUAGCUGGUCUGAGAGGAUGACCAGCCACACUGGAACUGAGACACGGUCCAGACUCCUAGGGAGGCAGCAGUGGGGAAUAUUGCGCAAUGGGGGGAACCCUGACGCAGCCAUGCCGCGUGAAUGAAGAAGGCCUUAGGGUUGUAAAGUUCUUUCGGUAUUGAGGAAGGUUGAUGUGUUAAUAGCACAUCAAAUUGACGUAAAUACAGAAGAGC
rnacentral:rRNA from 1 species